rnacentral:rRNA from 1 species
AUACAUAGGGGGCGAGCGUUAUCCGGAUUUAUUGGGCGUAAAGGGUGCGUAGGCGGUAAAUUAAGUCUAAGGUUAAAGUGCAGGGCUCAACCCUGUGAUGCCUUAGAAACUGGUUUACUUGAGUUUGGUAGAGGUAAGUGGAACUCCAUGUGUAGCGGUAAAAUGCGUAAAUAUAUGGAAGAACACCAGUGGCGAAGGCGGCUUACUGGGCCACAACUGACGCUGAGGCACGAAAGCGUGGGGAGCAAACAGGAUUAGAUACCCUGGUAGUCCACGCUGUAAACGAUGAAUACUAAGUGUUGGAAAAAUCCAGUGCUGAAGUUAACGCAUUAAGUAUUCCGCCUGAGUAGUACGUACGCAAGUAUGAAACUUAAAGGAAUUGACGGGG